rnacentral:rRNA from 1 species
AUGGACGGCGGGGAGAGGACGUUCAAGGCCAACUUCACCGCCGAGGGGGUGGCGCUGCUGCGACAGCGCGUGAGGGCGAAGCUCCAUGAGCUCAUGGGAGAUUACACCGACGACACCCUCGUGGAGUAUGUCGUGGUGUUGCUCAGAAAUGGAAGAAGGAAGGAUGAGGCUGCAAAGGAGCUGCAGGUUUUCUUAGGCGAUGACAACAAUGCAUUUGUAUCCUGGUUGUGGGAUCACCUCUCCUCAAAUUUGCACCUUUAUGUGCAACCCAAAGCUGUCUCUGCUAAUGAUGAAGCUAAAAACACUCGGAGUACUGCUAGAGGAUUGUCUGUACAGACUAGUCGUGUACCUGAAGCUGAAACUCAGAAAACAACAAGAGUCCAACCGAAGAGGGAGUGGGGAGGAAUUGUUCGAGAACAAUCAGACGUUGUUCCCCUUCGAAGUGUUGUAGCUCCUGUUUCGCAUGCAGAGGAAAAAACUAAUCAUACACAGGCUGUAAGACGAACCCGCUCACCGGACAUGCAUAACCAUAGAAAGAGAGGCAGAGAGGAGGACACACGGCCAGCCAAGAAGACAUCCCAUGAAGUCAUUGGUGCACCACGCCGGCUUCUUCAGUUUGCUGUUCGUGACGCUGUCAGACCUGUGCAGCCACCGACCCCGAGGUCGGAGUCAUCAUCUUCCAAGCGACUUCGUUCUGUGGUGUCUACCGUAGAAUCAGAUUCAGCAGCUAAUGGUAGGUUGCAGAAAAUGAAGUCUGAUGUGAGAGUACCAGGUGCGACAGCAGCAUUUAGAGCCGCAGCUGAGGCUGCUGAAGAUGUUCUCAAGGACAGGUACUCCUCAGAAAGCGUCUUUGACAGGUUGGGUAGAAGGCCUCUGUUGACUACCACUGAAGAACCAUUCGAUUUCAGAGAAAAAGAUCCAGAAGAUGGACAAUACAAGCACAUAGAUAAUGUCCAAGCAGAAAAUCAAGUAGAAUCUCAUGAAAGAAAUCAGUAUGUUGCCAGGGAUACUUGUAUGUAUGACAGCGGAACUGAGAAGGCUGCUGAUUCUGCAUUCGAUAUUGAUCGGUAUGAUGACACCGGUGCAGUUAGAUAUAAUGGUGUGAAUCCUUACCAGAAUAAAUUGUCUUCUAGUGGAGGCAGAGAGUCAUCAGUAAUGCGGUACAAUAAGGCAGAAGGAGCUGCCGGGGUAAGAAGCAGAAGGUUGAUAGCCCAAGACACACAUGCUAGCUCAGGACCAAGACCAUCUGAAAAGAUCUUAAAUAUAUCUGCUAACAAUAAUACGCGGAAUCCUCCCUAUCAUGAAACUGCAAGAAAUGCUGGCACAUUUGAGCAUCAGGUGCCCAUUGGGAAGAAGGAUGUUGGCUCAAUAAAAUCAAAUGCGACAGUUGCACAUGCUAAAGUUACACACGUGGCCGAUAAAUCCAAAGACUUGGUGGCGCACUCAAGUUCAUUGUUGGAGGCAACGAAGGCUUCAUCAGUUGCUGGUGGAUCUACAGGCCAACCUGAAAGUGCCCCUGAUUCUAGAACUGUCUUUGUUAGCAAUGUACAUUUUGGCGCAACAAAAGAUGGUCUUUCUUGUCAUUUCAACAAGUUUGGGGCUGUGCUAAAAACUCUUAUUGUAUCUGAUGGUGCCACUGGUCAGCCAACAGGCUCAGCGUACAUCGAAUUCUUGGAAAAAGAAUCAGCAGAGAAGGCGUUAACGCUGAAUGGAACAUCUUUUAUGUCACGCAUUUUGAAGGUUGUUCGAAAAAGCUCUGUUGAAGUGCCUCAGCAGCCUGGCUGGUCACGUGGUGUUCGUGCAUCACCAUUUGCUUCCAGGCUCAUUAGAACUGCAUACCCAAGGCCGACAUUCCCUGGGGCUAUGCGUGGACGGUUAGCUAUCAGAGGUAAUGCUCGGAGUUUUCAAUGGAAGCGUGGCGCUGCUGAUUCCGUAGAUGCCGGAAAACCAAGUCAAGCUACACCUGUAACACCUGGGAGUCAGAUGGUAACUCCGGUAACACGAAGCUUCACCUACACACGCACCGAGCCAAAACAGGAUGUUGGUGCGACUGCAAACGUCUGA